rnacentral:rRNA from 1 species
GACGAACGCUGGCGGCGUGCCUAAUACAUGCAAGUCGAACGCACUCUCGUUUAGAUUGAAGGAGUUUGCUCCUGAUUGAUAAACAUUUGAGUGAGUGGCGGACGGGUGAGUAACACGUGGGUAACCUGCCCUAAAGUGGGGGAUAACAUUUGGAAACAGAUGCUAAUACCGCAUAAAACCUAACACCGCAUGGUGUAGGGUUGAAAGAUGGUUUCGGCUAUCACUUUAGGAUGGACCCGCGGUGCAUUAGUUAGUUGGUGAGGUAAAGGCUCACCAAGACCGUGAUGCAUAGCCGACCUGAGAGGGUAAUCGGCCACACUGGGACUGAGACACGGCCCAGACUCCUACGGGAGGCAGCAGUAGGGAAUCUUCCACAAUGGACGAAAGUCUGAUGGAGCAACGCCGCGUGAGUGAAGAAGGUUUUCGGAUCGGUAAAACUCUGUUGUUGGAGAAGAAUGUAUCUGAUAGUAACUGAUCAGGUAGUGACGGUAUCCAACCAGAAAGCCACGGCUAAC